UAGAAGACACCCCAAUACCCCAUCAUCAAUUUAAUAAAGAGAAACACUUGUAUGCGCACACCCUCAUCCAGCUUUCACAACCACCUAGCCACCCCUGCCCUUGCUUCAUCCGCUCUCGUCACGCACAUUGCUGCUAUUGACGCCCUACAAUGACCACGUCACUUUUAUGCACGAUGUCGCCCAACAGAGGUGCUCGGUUUUAACCUAACCGCCAAUUCCGGGUCAGAUAUUGUGAAACCGUGCUAUCCGUUUAAUCCACAAUGCUAUCAAAUCGAGAAAAUCAAUCUCAAAUAAACAGCGUAUUUCAUCAUCGAUGGAUUUAAUGGGUGCGAAGGUGGAGGAGGCGCUGCAAAGGAGGAACGGGGAGGUGAGGAAGAGUUGUGAGAGAGAAGAGAGAAUGCAGGAGGAGUUGGUGACUGCGUGGAGUGGCAGAGGAGCGGCUCUGCUUCCACCUAGGAGAGAUGGAGGCGGAGGUCGUCGACCAGGCCCGAGAAUACACGCUUCUAUUAUGCUGCGGUGCAUAUGUUUUACUAAUUUAUUGUUUACUAAUUUAUCAUUAUUGGAGAUUUGUUGUAAUUACAGUGCGUUUGCAUCCCUUGCUAUAUGCACCUGCUCUUAACACUA